rnacentral:rRNA from 1 species
AUUGAACGCUGGCGGCAGGCUUAACACAUGCAAGUCGAGCGAGCGGCGGACGGGUGAGUAAUGUCUGGGAAACUGCCUGAUGGCGGGGGAUAACUACUGGAAACGGUAGCUAAUACCGCAUACCAUCAGAUGUGCCCAGAUGGGAUUAGCUAGUAGGUGGGGUAAUGGCUCACCUAGGCGACGAUCCCUAGCUGGUCUGAGAGGAUGAUCAGGCACACUGGAACUGAGACACGGUCCAGAAUCCUACGGGAGGCAGCAGUGGGGAAUAUUGCACAAUGGGCGCAAGCCUGAUGCAGCCAUGCCGCGUGUGUGAAGAAGGCCUUCGGGUUGUAAAGCACUUUCAGUGAGGAGGCGUUACUCGCAGAAGAAGCACCGGCUAACUCCGUGCCAGCCGCCGCGGUAAUUC